UUUCCGUAGGUGAACCUGCGGAAGGAUCAUUAUUGAGCCCUGCCCUCACGGGUAGACCUCCAACCCUGUGUAUUUAUACCAUUGUUGCCUCGGCAGAAGCUGCUCGGUGCACCCUACCUUGGAACGGCCUACCCUGUAGCGCCUUACCCUGGAACGGCUUACCCUGUAACGGCUGCCGGUGGACUACCAAACUCUUGUUAUUUUAUUGUAAUCUGAGCGUCUUAUUUUAAUAAGUCAAAACUUUCAACAACGGAUCUCUUGGUUCUGGCAUCGAUGAAGAACGCAGC
rnacentral:misc_RNA from 1 species